UACGUAGGGAGCAAGCGUUGUCCGGAAUCAUUGGGCGUAAAGCGCGCGUAGGUGGCUUCGUAAGUCCGUUGUGAAAGUCAAAGGCUCAACCUUUGAAAGCCGAUGGAUACUGCGGAGCUAGAGUACGGAAGAGGCGAGUGGAAUUCCUGGUGUAGCGGUGGAAUGCGUAGAGAUCGGGAGGAACACCAGAGGCGAAGGCGGCGACCUGGACAAGUACUGACACUCAACUACGAAAGCGUGGGGAGCAAACAGG
rnacentral:rRNA from 1 species